UCCGGUUUGUCACCGGCAGUCUCGCAUGAGUCCCCAACUGAAUGCUGGCAACAUGCGACGGGGGUUGCGCUCGUUGCGGGACUUAACCCAACAUCUCACGACACGAGCUGACGACAGCCAUGCAGCACCUGUGCAGGGACUCCGAAGAGGGGCGGGUGUUUCCACCCGCUUUCCCCUGCAUGUCAAGCCCAGGUAAGGUUCUUCGCGUUGCGUCGAAUUAAACCACAUGCUCCACCGCUUGUGCAGGCCCCCGUCAAUUCCUUUGAGUUUUAGCCUUGCGGCCGUACUCCCCAGGCGGGCACUUAAUGCGUUAGCUUCGGCACGGCAACCGUUG
rnacentral:misc_RNA from 1 species